UGCAUCCUUCGAUCUUUGUGAGUGACGAUUACCGCUACGUGCGCGAGAACUUUCUUUACUUCGGUUAUCCUUUGUGAUAAUGACAUUUCAAGUGAUGUGCUCUUUUUUAAAUGCUUUUUAUUAGCUUCACCUGUAUGUAUGUUUGUUCGUAGCCGACUCAUUUGGACGCGAUUUUGGCCCACUUUAAACGGCCAGAUUUCGUUCAAACAAUUAUUUUUAUUUCCAGUAUUUGCUUUGUAUGGACUUAUUUUCUAUGAGAGAAUUUAUUGACGCACGGUUUGAUAGUUCUGCUGUGAAACAAUUUCAUUACAACAACAGGCUGCACAUUUUUAGAUAUAAUUCUUGAUUUUAUGAUAUAUUAUUGACAAAUUCAUAAAAAAAUAUUAUUUUAUUUAUUAUAUACAGAACAACGUCUGUUGGGUCAGUUAGUAGUGAAUAUAUACGUAUAACUUUUAAGUGCCUAAAAUAAUAAUAAUUACAAAAAUUUUGUAUGUUGAGAUAAUCAGUGGAGCAAGAGUUAAUUUAAAUUAAGAGGGAGUUCGGGAUAACAGGAUCGACCAUUCACUCGAUGGAGCGCCGGUCCAUAAUAGGUUACCAACAAAGUAGAUAGCCGAACAUGUAACAUAACAAUAGGUGACCAACCAUUAUAGAUAACCAAUCAUACGAAGUUACUGACGGUAAUAGGUAACAAAUCAUAGUAUGUAACCGACCGUAAUGGAUAACAUAGAACACCGGUAACCGACAACACUAUGUAGCCAACCAUAAUAGGUAUCCAAACAUAAUAGGUAUUGAACCAUAAUAGAUAACCGAUCAUAAUAGGUAACUGACCAUCAAAAGUUACCAAACAUAAUAGGUAACGAACCAUAAUAGAUAACCGAUCAUAAUAGGUAACUGACCAUCAAAAGUUACCAAACAUAAUAGGUAACGAACCAUAAUAGAUAACCGAUCAUAAUAGGUAACUGACCAUCAAAAGCUACCAAACAUAAUACGUAACGAAUCAUGAUAGAUAACCGAUCAUAAUAGGUAACUGACCAUCAAAAGUUACCAAACAUAAUAGGUAACGAACCAUAAUAGAUAACCGAUCAUAAUAGGUAACUGACCAUAAUAGGAAGUCAACCAUACUAGGUAACUGACCAUCAAAAGUUACCAAACAUAAUAGGUAACGAACCAUAAUAGAUAACCGAUCAUAAUAGGUAACUGACCAUAAUAGGAAGUCAACCAUACUAGGUA